UUGUUACUCCCUCCGUCCGAAAAUACUUGUCGGAGAAAUGAAUAAAAAUGGAUGUACCUAGAAUUAAAAUAUAUCUAGAUACAUCCAUUUAUCUGACAAGUAUUUCCGGACGGAAGGAGUACUUU
rfam:Triticum aestivum genome assembly, contig: Triticum_aestivum_CS42_TGACv1_scaffold_194047_3AL